rnacentral:rRNA from 1 species
AGUGAACGCUGGCGGUAGGCCUAACACAUGCAAGUCGAACGGCAGCACAGUAAGAGCUUGCUCUUACGGGUGGCGAGUGGCGGACGGGUGAGGAAUACAUCGGAAUCUACUUUUUCGUGGGGGAUAACGUAGGGAAACUUACGCUAAUACCGCAUACGACCUACGGGUGAAAGCAGGGGAUCUUCGGACCUUGCGCGAAUGAAUGAGCCGAUGUCGGAUUAGCUAGUUGGCGGGGUAAAGGCCCACCAAGGCGACGAUCCGUAGCUGGUCUGAGAGGAUGAUCAGCCACACCGGAACUGAGACACGGUCCAGACUCCUACGGGAGGCAGCAGUGGGGAAUAUUGGACAAUGGGCGCAAGCCUGAUCCAGCCAUACCGCGUGGGUGAAGAAGGCCUUCGGGUUGUAAAGCCCUUUUGUUGGGAAAGAAAAGCAGCAGGUUAAUACCCCGCUGUUCUGACGGUACCCAAAGAAUAAGCACCGGCUAACUUCGUG